AAUUAGUGAUAAGGGAAAUCAGGAAGCAAUGACUUGAACCUCUCCCAAACUUGACACAAAUUUCCACCAUCCUUUUGCCUGAAUUUUAAGAUCCUAGUCCUCAAAUU
rfam:Capsicum annuum cultivar Zunla-1 chromosome 2, whole genome shotgun sequence